rnacentral:lncRNA from 1 species
AAGGACCCCUGGUGACCCAGGCACAGUGCACAUCAUAUGUGUCACAUCUUAUGUGUCUGCAGGUUGGCAUCCAACCCGGUGGAUGACGCAGGGCUGCUCUCCUUCGCCACAUUCUCCUGGCUCACACCGGUGAUGGUCAGGGGCUACAGGAACACACUGACUGGGGACUCCCUGCCCCCAAUGUCUCUCUAUGACUCCUCUGACAUCAAUGCCAAAAGGUUUCGAAUCCUUUGGGAUGAAGAGGUGGAAAGGGUGGGCCCUGAGAAGGCCUCCCUGGGCCAAGUGGCCUGGAAGUUCCAGAGGACGCGGGUUUUGAUGGACAUUGUGGCCAACAUCCUGUGCAUAGUCAUGGCAGCCAUAGGGCCGGUGAGUGAGGUGGCUCCUCUUCCCUCUUCCCUCUCAAGUCCCCAGCUGGGCAAAGU